rnacentral:rRNA from 1 species
GAUGAACGCUAGCGGAAGGCUUAAUACAUGCAAGUCGAGCGGUAGGUGGCUUCGGCCAUUGAGAGCGGCGCACGGUGAGUAACGCGUACAUGACCUGCCUGUCAGAAGGGGAUAGCCCUGGGAAACUGGGAUUAAUACCCUAUGGUAUUGAUAUUAUGAAUGAUAUCAAUUAAAAGUUGAGGCGCUGACAGAUGGAUGUGCGUCUGAUUAGCUAGUUGGUAGGGUAACGGCCUACCAAGGCGACGAUCAGUAGGGGGCGUGAGAGCGUGGUCCCCCA